rnacentral:rRNA from 1 species
AUGAGGCCCUCUGGGUCCAACCUCCCACCCGUGUUUUAACUGUACCUUGUUUGCUUCGGCGGGCCCGCCUCACGGCCGACCGGGGGGCUCUCCUGCCCCCGGGCCCGCGCCCGCCGAAGACACCUGUAACGCUGUCUGAAGUAUGCAGUCUGAGAAAACUAGCUAAAUUAGUUAAAACUUUCAACAACGGAUCUCUUGGUUCCGGCAUCGAUGAAGAACGCAGCGAAAUGCGAUAAUUAAUGUGAAUUGCAGAAUUCAGUGAAUCAUCGAGUCUUUGAACGCACAUUGCGCCCUCUGGUAUUCCGGAGGGCAUGCCUGUCCGAGCGUCAUUGCUGCCCUCAAGCACGGCUUGUGUGUUGGGCCCUCGUCCCCCCGGGGACGGGCCCGAAAGGCAGCGGCGGCACCGCGUCCGGUCCUCGAGCGUAUGGGGCUUCGUCACCCGCUCGUUAGGCCCGGCCGGCGCCAGCCGACCCCCCCUCAAUCUUUAACCAGGUUGACCUCGGAUCAGGUAGC